UACGGGGGGGGUAAGCGUUGUUCGGAAUUACUGGGCGUAAAGGGCUCGUAGGCGGCCAACUAAGUCAUACGUGAAAUCCCUCAGCUUAACUGGGGAACUGCGUGUGAUACUGGAUGGCUUGGAUUUGGGAGAGGGAUGCGGAAUUCCAGGUGUAGCGGUGAAAUGCGUAGAUAUCUGGAGGAACACCGGUGGCGAAGGCGGCAUCCUGGACCAAUAUUGACGCUGAGGCGCGAAAGCGUGGGGAGCGAACAGG
rnacentral:rRNA from 1 species